AAGAUCAUACUUCACAGGUUCAUUUCUGUAGGAUGUCUUCAUCUUUCUCUAGUUCGCUAUUGGAGUAGACGCAACCACGAUGAUGAGUGGUAGCACUUUCCAUGACCGUGGGGCAUGUACGUUGGGAUUCAUAGGUUCUCGACUGCAAUCGAUGAUCGUUCACCACGCUCUCCGUAGGACGGGAAUAGUGCUUUCCGAGUGAU